rnacentral:lncRNA from 1 species
AAGUUGGAAUAUUCGAUCUAACAAAACAAUUGAAAAGUUCAAUUUUGUUAGAUGCGAAGAAGAAUCUUGUGUGUACAAAAAGGUUAGUGGGAGCACAAUUAUAGUUUUAGUGUUGUAUGUUGAUGAUAUAUUGCUCAUAGGGAAUGACGUACCGGCAUUGCAAAAUACCAAGAUUUGGCUAUCUGAACAGUUUUCCAUGAAAGANNNNNN